rnacentral:rRNA from 1 species
CAACCAGACUCCUACGGGAGGCAGCAGUGAGGAAUAUUGGUCAAUGGGCGCGAGCCUGAACCAGCCAAGUCGCGUGAGGGAUGACGGUCCUACGGAUUGUAAACCUCUUUUGCCGGGGAGCAAGCGUGCGUUCGUGAACGCACGUCGAGAGUACCCGGAGAAAAAGCAUCGGCUAACUCCGUGCCAGCAGCCGCGGUAAUACGGAGGAUGCGAGCGUUAUCCGGAUUUAUUGGGUUUAAAGGGUGCGCAGGGGGCUUGUUAGGUCGGGGGAAAAGGCCGGGGGCACACCCCGGGGGAGCCGUUGAAACUGGCGGGCUGGAGUUGGAGAGAAGUACGCGGAAUGCGCGGUGUAGCGGUGAAAUGCUUAGAUAUCGCGCAGAACCCCGAUUGCGAAGGCAGCGUACCGGCUCCACACUGACGCUGAGGCACGAAAGCGUGGGUAUCGAACAGGAUUAGAUACCCGAGUAUAA